rnacentral:rRNA from 1 species
GCGAGAAAACUUUGCAAUGUGCGAAAGCACGACAAGGUUAAUCCGAGUGGUUUCUGCUAAAGAAACCUUUUGUCAGUCCUAGAAACACUAACGAAUAAGGGGUGGGCAAGUUCUGGUGUCAGCCGCCGCGGUAAAACCAGCACCUCAAGUGGUCAGGAUGAUUAUUGGGCCUAAAGCAUCCGUAGCUCGUUUUGUAAGUUUUCGGUUAAAUCCAUAUGCUUAACGUAUGGGCUGUCGGGAAUACUGCAUAACUAGGAAGUGGGAGAGGUAGACGGUACUCGGUAGGAAGGGGUAAAAUCCUUUGAUCUAUUGAUGACCACCUGUGGCGAAGGCGGUCUACCAGAACACGUUCGACGGUGAGGGAUGAAAGCUGGGGGAGCAAACCGGAUUAGAUACCCAUGUAGUCCCUGAGCGGGCUGGCAAGGCGCAU